CCUACGUGGUGCAGCAGUGGGGAAUAUUGCACAAUGGGGGAAACCCUGAUGCAGCGACGCCGCGUGAGUGAAGAAGUAAUUCGUUAUGUAAAGCUCUAUCAGCAGGGAAGAAAAUGACGGUACCUGAGUAAGAAGCCCCGGCUAACUACGUGCCAGCAGCCGCGGUAAUACGUAGGGGGCAAGCGUUAUCCGGAUUUAUUGGGUUUAAAGGGUGCGUAGGCGGUAUUUUAAGUUAGUGGUAAAACGUCGGGGCUUCACCUUGAUUGGCCAUUAAAACUGGAGUACUAGAGUACUGACGAGGUAGGCGGAAUAAGUUAAGUAGCGGUGAAAUGCUUAGAUAUAACUUAGAACCCCGAUAGCGAAGGCAGCUUACCAGACUGUUACUGACGCUGAAGCACGAGAGCGUGGGUAGCGAACAGGAUUAGAUACCCCUGUAGUC
rnacentral:rRNA from 1 species